AGUGAACGCUGGCGGUAGGCCUAACACAUGCAAGUCGAACGGCAGCACAGUAAGAGCUUGCUCUUACGGGUGGCGAGUGGCGGACGGGUGAGGCAUACAUCGGAAUCUACUUUUUCGUGGGGGAUAACGUAGGGAAACUUACGCUAAUACCGCAUACGACCUACGGGUGAAAGCAGGGGAUCUUCGGACCUUGCGCGAUUGAAUGAGCCGAUGUCGGAUUAGCUAGUUGGCUGGGUAAAGGCCCACCAAGGCGACGAUCCGUAGCUGGUCUGAGAGGAUGAUCAGCCACACUGGAACUGAGACACGGUCCAGACUCCUACGGGAGGCAGCAGUGGGGAAUAUUGGACAAUGGGCGCAAGCCUUAUCCAGCCAUACCGCGUGGGUGAAGAAGGCCUUCGGGUUGUAAAGCCCUUUUGUUUGGAAAGAAAAGCAGCAGGUUAAUACCCCGCUGUUCUGACGGUACCCAAAGAAUAAGCACCGGCUAACUUCGUG
rnacentral:rRNA from 1 species